AGAGUUUGAUCCUGGCUCAGAACGAACGCUGGCGGCAUGCCUAACACAUGCAAGUCGAACGCAUGGUUUCGGCCAUGAGUGGCGCACGGGUGAGUAGCGCGUGGGAACCUGCCUUGGAGUGGGGGAUAACCGAGGGAAACUUCGGCUAAUACCGCAUGCGCCCGGGCAACCGGGGAAAGAUUUAUCGCUCCAAGAGGGGC
rnacentral:rRNA from 1 species